GAUGAACGCUGGCGGCGUGCCUAACACAUGCAAGUCGAGCGAUUCUCUUCGGAGAAGAGCGGCGGACGGGUGAGUAACGCGUGGGCAACCUGCCCUGUACACACGGAUAACAUACCGAAAGGUAUGCUAAUACGAGAUAAUAUGCUUUUAUCGCAUGGUAGAAGUAUCAAAGCUUUUGCGGUACAGGAUGGACCCGCGUCUGAUUAGCUAGUUGGUAAGGUAGCGGCUUACCAAGGCGACGAUCAGUAGCCGACCUGAGAGGGUGAUCGGCCACAUUGGAACUGAGACACGGUCCAAACUCCUACGGGAGGCAGCAGUGGGGAAUAUUGCACAAUGGGCGAAAGCCUGAUGCAGCAACGCCGCGUGAGCGAUGAAGGCCUUCGGGUCGUAAAGCUCUGUCCUCAAGGAAGAUAAUGACGGUACUUGAGGAGGAAGCCCCGGCUAACUACGUGCCAGCCGCCGCGGUAA
rnacentral:rRNA from 1 species